rnacentral:lncRNA from 1 species
UGGUGAUCUUAUUAUUUCCACUGAUUCAGGUUAAGCUUGGCUUUAUUUAGAUCAUCUUUAUUAUACCUGUGGGUAGGUUUUGUAAGCAGGCCCUAGCACAGGUUCAGUUGUGGGUUUCCUUUUAAAAGGUCAGUGUGAAACAGGAAAUGUGACUAAGAAAAUCUUCUUCCUCCAUGAAGCCUCACUUCGUUAACUGGAAGAAAAGCUCCUAUCCCGUCUCCCCCCAGACUUACUCAUGGCCCAGACACAUUUCAAAACAGCACGUAUUUCCCAAAACACUGACAUGUGCAUUCUAAGGCUCGUGUGUGCGGUGAGUAGUUCUUUGUCAGGUUCGCUCUGUGAAGGGGCCCUGUAGUCACACCAGUCACUGUUCUUCAGAGAGCUGAGGAUGUGCAGGGGCCUGAGGGACCUGGAAACCUGAUGGCUGAGCAAUGAGGAGAGCGGAACUCAUGGUUGGAACAGUUGGCCAUUCUCAUGCAGAUAGGGGCAGAGCCAGAACCGGAAUCCAGGUCUCCUGACUCCCCGGCCACAUUAACCCAAGUAAACCCCAUAUCUACCGCUUUAGCUUCUGGAGGCCCCUGCGUCUUUCUCCUUGUGGGGCACAAGCCAGAGUUCAUUAUGCAGGUCUGGAAAACAACAACAACAACAACAACAGCAGCAGCAGCAGCAGCACCACCACCACCACCACCACCAGCACCAGCAGCAGCCAGGAGAAAAGCAGGGAACUUCCAGGGGGAAAACCUCAUCCCCGAAGAGACAGAAGUUGCCAGAAUAUGUACAGGGAGGCAAAAAGCAUUUAAAAACAGGGGAGCAUGGUCAUUUGCCCUGGAAGAGCAUGCAGUGUUGGGACAGCUGAUGAACAAAAUUUCCAUCCCUCUCCAUUCAUCAUUUAUCAGUAAGUCAUGCAGGUCAAGGUGUAGAUGGAAGGGGAAGAGGGCAGAGAGAGGAGAAAAGGGAAAAGAAGUUUUUGUUUUUGUUGUUGUUGUUUUUUUUUUAGAGAUGGGAUCUCACUAUAUUACCCAGCCUGGCCUCAAAUUCCUGAGCUCAGGUGAUACUCCCACUUCAGUCUCCCAAAUAACUGGGACUACACGUGUGAGCUGCCACACCCAGAGAGCUAUGGAGUUUCCAUUAUAAGGAAAAUGAAGAUGACAAAGGAAUGCUGGGGACAGGCUUUUGAAGAGAAGAGAUCAACUCAGGCUGAAGUGCAAUGGCACAAUCACACUUUAAAUGGGUACAUUUUUAAAUUUGUGAAUUAUAUCUCAAUAAAGAGAUUUUAAAAAUAGAUGCGCA